AUGCGGGGACUCGCCGACGAGCUCGCCGCGGCUGGCAAGCCGUUGAAGGAUGAUGAACUCAUCUCGUACAUCCUCAACGCACUCGACAUGGAGUAUCAGCCGCUGGUUUCCGCCCUCGACGCCAGAACCACUCCGGUCACCCUCGACGAAUUGUUCGGACAGAUGAGCAAUUUUGAUCAGAGGAUGGCUCUUUUCCAAGGCGCGGGAGGUGGCUUCAAGUCAUCUGCCAAUGUUGCCACCCGCGGCCGUGGCGGGGGCUCUCGUUACCGCGGUCCACCGCGGAACGGAAAGGGCAGGAGCGCCCACAACAGCAACAGCAGCGGCGCUACCAACACGCGCGGCGGCCGGCCUCCCUCCUCCAACAACAAAGGCCGCCGCAACAGCAGCUCCAACAACAGAUCACGCCCCGACAUCAGGUGCCAAAUCUGUGGCAAGCCGGGUCACUCGGCAAAGGACUGCUGGUAUCAUUUUGAGGAGGAUGAAGAUGACUCAUCUCAGGAUGAGAAGGUGGCCGGAGCUGCUGAUGGCUCUUACGGCGUCGACACAAAUUGGUACGUCGACAGCGGCGCCACAAACCACAUCACCGGUGAGCUGGAGAAGGUGACCAUGCGUGAGAAGUACCGUGGCAAAGAUCACAUCCACACUGCAAGUGGAGAAGGCAACGAAGAAGGUGCUUUAUCGAGGUAG
rnacentral:rRNA from 1 species